GUUGGUGUUACAUAGUUGUAGCAUUUGGAUUUCGCUCAAAACCCCCCAAAUGACCCCUCCCAUCAUAUUAGAAUGUUCCCUAUGCUUUGGACUCAAUCCGAUAUCGAUUCGUCCAUGAAAUUGGACAAUUCAGCUUCGUACGAAAUUCGUUAUGAAAUGGAGUGGUUGGUGUAUUGCAUAGUUUUAGGCAUUGGAUUUCAUUGAAAAGUCACCAAAU
rnacentral:lncRNA from 1 species